AGGGUUUGAUCAUGGCUCAGAACGUACGCUGGCGGCACGCCUAACACAUGCAAGUCGAACGCAGUAGCAAUACUGAGUGGCAAACGGGUGAGUAUAAUGUGGGAAUCUGCCUUUUGGUUUGGAAUAACACGGGGAAACUUGUGCCAAUACCGGAUAAGCCCUUACGGGGAAAGUUUUAACGCCGAAAGAUGAGCCUGCACUUGAUUAGCUAGUUGGUAAGGUAAAAGCUUACCAAGGCAACGAUCAAUAGCUGUUCUUAGAGGAAGACCAGCCACAUUGGGACUGAGACACGGCCCAGACUCCUACGGGAGGCAGCAGUGGGGAAUCUUGCACAAUGGGGGAAACCCUGAUGCAGCGAUGCCGCGUGAGUGAAGAAGGCCCUUGGGUUGUAAAACUCUUUCGUCGGGGAAGAAAAUGACUGUACCCGAAUAAGAAGGUCCGGCUAACUUCGUGCCAGCAGCCGCGGUAAUUC
rnacentral:rRNA from 1 species